GUUGUUGUGGUCGGCUGCUGUUUUCUCCGAUUCUCCGCAUUCUGCUGCGAGUCGUAGGUCACGCUGGUUCCGAUUUUCUUUCGGUUGAGCUCGUCAACAAAUUUCCUGCAAUUUAUUUACAGCUUGGAAAAUUGGCAAAUCGGAGAGUUGGAGAAGUUUUGAACAUCAAACAUAAACAGAGUCAUGUAGUGAGCGAACGAGGGCAGCAUUUUUAGCGCACAAAAAAUUCAUACACAUCCACAGACGGAGAAGAAAAGCCGAGCAGCCGGAGUGGGCGCUGCAAAAGUGCAACAGCUGCGCAGGAAACCGAAGCGAAUAGAGGACGCCAUCUAAAAACCAUUUCAAACUCUAAGCCAAGUCCAAUA